AAUAGAAAAUAGAAAUAAACCUAAGCUACGUCUCUUAAUCAGCGACAAGAAGAUACGUCUCUUAUGAUUCCUUUUCCUCCCUCUUCACCUUCUCCAGAACUUCAUCCCACUUCAUCGCAGAUCAUGAUCAAUUAAAACACACGAUCUUGCUGGAGAGGCAUCGGCGGCACACGAUCCUGAAAAAAUGGCACACGCUACGUGUCUCAUCCUCUCUUCCUCCUCCAGGUUCGCUCGUCUCAGCUAUAGCACCAGAUUCCUCAGACACGCAAACCCUCUUCCCGUUCCUCGAUUCCGAUGCUAUUGCUCCGACGAGACCUCUUCUCCUUCUGUAAAGUAAAGCCCUUUGUAUUUGUCUCAUGCUUCUUCUUUAGUUACAAUUCUCUUUUUACUCUUCUGAUGGCAAGAAACGUGUGGUCUCUGGAGUCCAGCCUACAAGUUUAAUUCACCUCGGAAACUAUCUCAGCGCUGUCAAAAACUGAGUCACUCUUCAGGGGGGUGAGAAUGCUUCUGUGUCAUUGUUAACUUAUCCAGUUCUGAUGGCUGCUGAUAUCCUCUUGUAUAAGGUGAUGAUGCUUUACUGAUUCCAUUUUGGUCUCUCGGAUAAGACCACAGGAGGAUUCGUUGAACAAUGCAAUAGACAUGGUUGUUGGACCCCCUGGUAGGAUCCUUCAGCAUAUCGAAGAAGGAAACAUGGUCUAUGGAGAUAUCACAUAUUUGGUGCUGGAUGAGGCAGACACUAUGUUUGAUCGUGGCUUUGGUCCUGACAUUCGUAAGUUUCUUGCCCCACUGAAACAGCGUGCGUUGAAAACAAAUGACCAAGGGUUUCAAACCGUCUUAGUCACUGCCACCGGAAUAAGCACAUGGGCUUCCUCUUGAUACUCAAUAGUUUACAAUGAGCCUAAGAGCGACUGCAACGGAGGUCCAAGUGUGAUCCUUAGGAGGUCCAAGUGUGAUCCUUGAGAGGGCCGGUGUCGUUUGUGUUGCGUUGGGUCAAAAAUGGUUAACUCAUUUUCGACCGACCGCGUAGAAAAAAAAGGGCUCGAGUGAGAAAGGCGACAGAAAGGGCGAUUCCUCUCCGUGUGCUUUACGAAGGUUAACGAAAAUGGGACAAGAUUACUACAGUCAGCCCUCUUCAUCAUCAGAGUCUCUAGACAUAACCUCCCUUCUUGAAGCCGAAUGUCAGAUUUAC